GACGUAGGAGGCGAGCGUUGUCCGGAGUUACUGGGCGUAAAGCGCGCGCAGGCGGCCCUGUGCGCUGCCGGUGAAAGCUCCCGGCUUACCUGGGAGAGGUUCGGCAGGACGGCAGGGCUGGAGGGUGGGAGAGGUCGGUGGAAUUCCCGGUGUAGUGGUGAAAUGCGUAGAGAGUCGGGAGGAACACCCGUAGCGAAGGCGGCCGACUGGACCACACCUGACGCUGAGGCGCGAAGGCCAGGGGAGCGAACGGGG
rnacentral:rRNA from 1 species